GUUCCGGAAAGUUCCGCACACUCACGUGAACACCCGUCACUGAUGUUCCACUAACCGACGAGCACGUUGUGAGCACUAACAUUCAGUCAGAACUGCUGGUGAUGAACAUCGGCACUUUAUUUUUAGUAUAAAUACCUACAUUUUUAGUGUAAAUAUAAACUUGUAAAGCCGGUUUUUAUUAGCAUAAACGGGGCCGCUGCCCAGCUACACAAGGAGCAGCAUGUUGUGUUUCUUUGGAAAUGGUUGCUAUGCGUGUUGCUAGGGUUUUAGGAUCCCAGUAUGCUAUGAGGUCCCUCCUCUCUGCCCUCAACUUCCCAUUCUGGGCCCUCUUUAGAGGAAGUGUGACGUCAUGUGUGUCGCCCACAACUACAGAGCACAUGGGUCCGUGGCCGCAUGGUCUUGAGAGGCUGCCACCAGGUUCCUCCUGACCCUUCGCCAUGGUGUUGUCUAACGUAACGAACCAGUCCGACCAGUUUAAUAUGUAAAUGAGCGUGAGCGAAGAAGAAGGGGUUUUAUCGUAGGGUAUUCAAAUAGGGGCAGAGAAACAAGAUCACCUUGCAUCACUGAUGGCUAAAGAAUUUGUGGACACAAUGGACAGCAUAGGCCACUGGCCAAAAAACGGGAUGGGAGACAGAUUUUAGUUUAGUUCUGCAAAAUUGUGUAAGACCUGUAUGCUGUAUGAUGAAAUAUUCUUUGUGUUUUGGUUCAUACAUCGCAAUUCUUUUUUUUCUCCUUCCGAGAGUUGCAGGAUCCAUAGGAAGGGCCGUGGUCCAAGCACAUGUCCACACCAAGGGACACCAGACUGCAAGAUCUCUGAGAGUCCUUUGUUUAAGGCAGGAGACAGGAGACGGAUGUCUGGGACCCAAGUGCAAUCGGAAAAAGGCGUAGUCGGACAGGUAAGGUUAGGUCGAUGCACAGACAUCGUUCAUGGGACAAGACAAGAAACGUGGUCGAGUAGACGGACCCCAGGGUCGAAAAGCCAGAACGUGAAAACGGGCACAGUGAAGGAACGGGAAAAGGCCGAGGACGGCGAAGAGUCGAGAUUUUGAAUCACUGCUGCUGGAGCUGCGGUUUCUUGGAGUGAAGUUCCACAGUCAGGUGCGUCGGGGCAGCUCCUUCAUAUCCUGUCUCCCUGAUUCACCGCAGGUGCCGUCGUCAGCCUUGAGGUUGUGGGCGUUACAGUUAAGCAACUUACAAUUAUUUACACAUUUAUAUUUAUACAGCUGGGCAAUUUUACCGGAGAAAUUUAGGGUAAGUACCUUGCUCAAUGGUCCUACAGUUGGAGGGGGGAUUUAAAUCUGCAACCGUUGGAUCCAAAAGCAGUAGCUCUUACAACUAGGCCGCCAGCGGUCCAAGUGACAAUUUGUAAUAAUGCGAUAAUCAGUAAAAAAAAAAAAAAGAAAAAAAAGAGAUCAGUGCUCUGGAAACUUGUGACCAUAGGAGGUAACACCACUGGCCAGUGUGUCAGGGGGUCUCCAGCAUCUGGGUCUGGGGUCUGAGGCUGGUAAGGAUCAGGACUGCCCCCUGGAGGUCUCUAGCUGCAUUCGUACUCCCCCGUGUCAGUAGGGGUCCUGAAAGUCCCCAGUGGAGUCAAGGUGAGUACAAUCACGGUAAUGAGUGAAUUAUCUUAAAAGAAAUGUCACUUUGAGAUCUGCAGACGGCAGAGAGGCGCUCACCGUGUUUUAAUAAGACAGAGAGUAGGAAUUACACCAAGAAUAUCAAAAUUAUUCACCACAUGGGGGGACAUCUUCUUUAGUGGCGUUCUUCUGAAGUGAAUGACCACAUGAUGAUUUUCUGGAGUGAUCUUUUAAAAUGAUGACCAACUGAAGCCGGGGAAGGGUGUAGAACAGGCGUGAGGCACUCAAUCUGCAUGUGGAAAAACAGUCAGUAACCUGUCACAGAGCCACUCAUGCGCUGUCUCUGUCUUUCUUGUUUACACGUACACAUCUGCUCACACACACACACACACACACACACACACACACACACACACACAGGGCCUUGAAGCAAGAUUACUUGGGACCUUGGGCCUGGGCUGCAAUACCCCACUUUGGCCUGUAGGGGGUACUCUUCCUAGCUUCAGUGUGGGCCACCCAACAGCAACCCCCCUCCUCCUCCUUUCCCCACAGGGAGGCCUCGGGAAUAAAGAGCCCUGUGCGUUCCGCCA
ensembl:lncRNA